rnacentral:rRNA from 1 species
CAGACCUCUGAUCAGAAAGAACUACCCGCUGAGUUUAA